rnacentral:lncRNA from 1 species
GUGCACUUGAUGCCCAUAUGAAUCCUUUGAGAUAAGCGGGGCCCAGGAUCCUUGAGCCUGAAGAAGACUGAUCUCUGUUUUGAAGACUGUUAAGGCCCAGUCAACUUGAAAUCUGGAGAUUUCUGGAGAAUUCUGCCCCUAUCCCCAGAGAAUUUACUCCAAGGGAAGUUCCAGACUCAGCCCUUUAAGACUGAACAGGAUUCCAGUCCAGUCACAGUGCCCAGCACAGUUCCUGGCACUUAGCAGGUUCUCAAUAUAUGCUUGUUGCCUAUUUGAAGCUGCCAGUAAGAGGUAGACACAUACUGUAUCCUUUGAGUGUGAAUCAUCACAAAGCAAUAUACAAGAUGCAGGACUCUUCAGAUGCAGAAAGAGAGAAGAAAAGCCUCCAGAGGAGUUAG